ACACGUGGGGAUGACAAUUCAAGAUGGAAUUGUGUGGGGACACAGAGCCAAACCAUAUCAAGUACCUACAAAAUUAUGGUGACUCUUCACUAAUUUGCAAACUGAUUAUCUGCAAAUCUUAAAUAGGGAAUAAAACACAAAAAUAUCAUUAUCCCUCCAGAACUGAGGACGCAAAUUGGAUUUAGAAGACUUAGCUUUGACACCUAGAUAUGUUUUCAUUGAUUUGACCUAACUUGAUCUCAGUUUCUCUUUUAUAGAGUUAGUUCUUUAGAUCAGAGGUCCCCAACCCCAGGACUGCGGACUGCCACUGGUCUUUGGCCUGUCAGGCACCCGGCCACACAGCUGGAGAUCUCGCUCUGUCGCCCAGGCUGGAAUGCAGUGGCGUGAUCUCGGCUCACUGCAAGCUCUGCCUCCCAGGUUCACGCCAUUCUGCCUCAGCCUCCUGAGUAGCUGGGACUACAGGUGCCCACCACCACGCCCGGCUAAUUUUUUGCGCCCACUACCACGCCCGGCUAAUUUUUUGUAUUUUUAGUGGAAACGGGGUUUCACCUGUGUUAGCCAGGAUGGUCUCGAUCUCCUGACCUUGUGAUCCGCCCGCCUCAGCCUCCCAAAGUGCUGGGAUUACAGGCGUGAGCCACCACGCCCGGCAAUCGCGGCUUAUUUUCUGAGAUGGUCAGACUCUGUUUUCUUUCCUUGCUUUCAUCUGGACCCCGUCUUUCCUUGAUCUCUAUCGUCCCAGUUCCGUACAAUGAGCAUUCUUUUCCAAGAAGUUUCUUCUCUGUGCAGUGCUUGUCCAGGAGUGGAAAUUUGGGUGGUUAGUUUGGAACAUUCAUUGUGCCCGUCAGACACUUUGCAUUCCCCUGACUUUGGAGUGUGCAAAACUUUUUCCAGUUUCAGCUGCUGUUCCCAAGUGGAACCUCCAAGCUUUCCAGCAAUUGCCUGCUUGCUAUUUUGAGAUUAUCAGAUUUAUCAGAGUCUCAUGAAUUCCCUCCACUUUCUAUUAUACAGUUGCUGAUACCACCUAGCCCUUGUAUCUGUCUAUGGCUUUCCUCAAUUCCUUAUGUUCUAGGGUUCGUGGAGACACUUCAUCACCUAAUUUUGUUAUAGAUGUUGUCCACGGGUUUUUUAUUUUAUCUUUUGUCCUUUGUCUAUAUUUGUGGCAGAAUUUUAAGGUUAAAAAAUGAUGACCCCCGGAUACAGGUGACCAUUGUAAGGGUACAAGGAAAAUAUCCCCUUUGUCCUCUGAAGAUUUGCUUAAAAAUCAACUCAUAAAAGUCAGAUUAAUUGGAGUAAAUGUAUAUAAAUUUUAUUAACGUGUACAUGAGAGCCUUUAGAAUAAAGACCCAAAGAUAUAGAGAAAA
ensembl:lncRNA MTUS1-DT MTUS1 divergent transcript